UACGUAGGUGGCAAGCGUUGUCCGGAUUUAUUGGGUUUAAAGGGUGCGUAGGCGGCUUUGUAAGUCAGUGGUGAAAUAUGGCAGCUCAACUGUCAAGGUGCCAUUGAUACUGCGGGGCUUGAGUACAGAUGAGGUAGGCGGAAUUGACGGUGUAGCGGUGAAAUGCUUAGAUAUCGUCAAGAACACCUAUAGCGAAGGCAGCUUACUAGGCUGUAACUGACGCUGAGGCACGAAAGUGUGGGGAUCAAACAGG
rnacentral:rRNA from 1 species